GACUCGGACCGGCAGAAAUGUUUGUUUUGCUUACAACAAGAAUUGUUCACUGGUUUAUGCUAUAGUGCCUAUAUUCCAAUGGCUCCUCAGUACUCAGGCACACAAGACCACAGCGGCCCACAAAAAGGUGACUUGGCAGUCCAUCACUGAUGCAGUGACCGUGGUCAGCUCCUGCCGUUGAAGUUGUUAUUGUCAAGAAGCGCUUCAAUCAUGUGAUGCACAUCUUGAAAGCCAAGAUGGUGGAGGAGAUGCAAGAGGCACGGAGGAAAGGGGGAGGACAUCCCACCUGAAAUACCGCCUGGCACCCAUAUUGAUGAGUACACAGACCAUUCAUCAUCCAAAAGCUAACCUGAAAGAAGGCUACUGCCAAAAGGCGUCACACUCAAACAGACAAAGUAGAGGCUGGUCCUUCUAUUUUCCUGCCAAGACCAGUCGUCCUGGUGGAGUAUUUGGAUGAGGACGGAGGAAAUCAUCCUUGAGGCUGUCUAUCCAGUUGAUCCAGCUGGACACUCAGCAGCAGCUGCCUUCACCAUAGACAGCCAGCAACAGGUCCCACCACAGCCCACACCAACACCUCAACGCACCCCAAUGGUGGAAGAGAUGACUCUGUCCCUGGAUUCAUUCUGACAAACCCAGGUGACAUUUAUGCAGACACAAACUGUCCAAAUGAUUGCCAUCAACCACCAACUGAGGAAGUUAACUAACAUCAUCAGAGUGGCCCAUGGGACCCGAGCAAGAAUGGCCCUUAAUCUUCAUCUACGAAUGCUUGAAAUGACCCAAACAAUUAUGGCCCAAGAGAGGCACUUAUUAUUAGCCUCCAAAGGGAGACAGCAGGCCAAAGGGCCACAAUGGAAACUCUCUCUGUCUUGUCGGUUAGCAGCCAGAUGACCACCCCCUAAACCAGUUCACCAACCACUCCCCCCAGGCACAGUGUGCUCACACAUGGAGGUGUGCCUAAAAGGGCAGGUAGGGGCAGAGGGAGUUUCGCCUCUAAAAAAUAAUUAUUGUUUUUUCAAAGUAUUUGUGUAUGUGUUGAGUGUUUUUGUUUUUGUGCUUA